rnacentral:rRNA from 1 species
AUUCCAGCUCCAAUAGCGUAUAUUAAAGUUGUUGCAGUUAAAACGCUCGUAGUCGGAUUUCGGGGCGGGCCGACCGGUCUGCCGAUGGGUAUGCACUGGCCGGCGCGUCCUUCCACCCGGAGACCGCGCCUACUCUUAACUGAGCGGGCGCGGGAGACGGGUCUUUUACUUUGAAAAAAUCAGAGUGUUUCAAGCAGGCAGUCGCUCUUGCAUGGAUUAGCAUGGGAUAAUGAAAUAGGACUCUGGUGCUGUUUUGUUGGUUUCGAACACCGGAGUAAUGAUUAACAGGGACAGUCGGGGGCAUUUGUAUUCAAACGACAGAGGUGAAAUUCUUGGACCGUUUGAAGACAAACUACUGCGAAAGCAUUUGCCAAGAAUGUUUUCAUCA